GUUUCUGUCAUUCUUCUAGGGGGAGUUUGCUUUCGUAUAUGUGAUUCAGCUCUUCAGAGGGAACCCGUGACAGUCAUGUGAGAUGUGUUUAAUUUUGUAUGGUUUAAUUGUACAUUAGCCACAGGGUCUGCUAGAUGACUCUGCUUUUCCGAGGAAAACUUUUUCAAGGUUUUUUUUUUUCUAGGAGACCAAAAAGAGGGCAACAUCUAUGACUAUUUCCUUUGUAAAUAUCCACGUCGGAAUAGAGAAAUCACAUAGAGUGGCUUUUUGUCCAAAACAGGUGAAUAAAUGACUCUUUUUUUUUUUUUUUUUUCAUUCUCAGGAUGAGAUUUACACUGUCAGACUUGUACUCCAGUUUUGUGGUAUUCUACAGUCAGGUCGCAACUAGAAUGAACGUUGUCAAUGCCGUUAUAUGAGGCAGAAUCGGAGUGAGGAAGGCAACUCCUGUGAUCUGGUAGACACAGAGGGGUGCCGCCCAGAUCCCCCUUCAAGGAGACUUCCAGAGACUCUAACCUGCGGCCAUCGGUGCUGGGCGUGGUCCCAGAAAGCAGGCGACAAAGUGAGGGUUUGAAAGUGGAUCACACACCACCAGGCUGGCCGUGAGGCCCCCAUCGCUGGUGAAACUUAAGGAGCAGCUGAGGGUGAAAACCAUGUAUGAAAUCCAGGCGUGAACGCCAGAAGGCUCACUGGAUAUUCACAGAUGCACCUUCAGACCUGCAAUGGUGGGAGAAGAAAAAAUUUUGGACUCUUCCAGCUAAGAGACAUAAAAAAUUAAAGCAGGCCCAUGUCAAGAGAGGGGACUAGGUUAGAAAAACCUUUAGUCCUAACAGGUGGAAUGGAGACAUCUUGGUGGAUGUCCCCAAAGAUUUUGACAUCUCACUGUCUGAACUUCCUAGGCCGUUGGCCACCCGAGAACUGGCAUGAUGGGCACAUGAAUGGAGAGGCCACCGUGACAGAGAUGGAGGCUGAGAAUAUUUCCAAGGGCACAUAAAGGCAGUUCUUGCC